CAGGACUCUAAUGGACCAAGAUGCACUCUCCACCUGGUGGCACCACCUGCAUUUCCUCGUGGGAUGGAGUUGUCCACUCCGGGCUGCCUUUCCAGUUCAGUGGUGGAUCUCAGCCCUGUAUCCUGCCUCCCACUCCCCAGUCACCUCUCACAGGUGACUGGUAUGACAUUUGGGUCCUUCCCCAGGACUCCUCCAGGCAGUGCACAAACUCAGAUCCACCUCAGAAAGGAGCUUCUCCCAGCCUUGGUGGGAAAGGGACUAACGUGGAAAAUGCUUCAUCUCUUGGUUCCUGGAGAAGCUGCUUGCAGGGAUGUCUGCCUUCCCAAAAUAGCACCGGGGCAUUCCAGGAAACACGAGUUCGAUCCCAGGUCCAGGAAGAUCUCACAUGCUUUGGAGCAACUAGGUCUGAGUGACACAAAUAUUGAGCCUGUGCUUUGCAACAAGAGAAGACUGUGCACUGCAACUAAAGAGCAGCCCCCGCUCUCUGCAACUAGAGGAAAGCCCGAGCAGCAAAGAACA